GCUGGCGGUAGGCCUAACACAUGCAAGUCGAACGAGUGGCGGACGGGUGAGGAAUGCAUCGGAAUCUACUCUUUCGUGGGGGAUAACGUAGGGAAACUUACGCUAAUACCGCAUACGAAUGAAUGAGCCGAUGCCCGAUUAGCUAGUUGGCGGGGUAAGAGCCCACCAAGGCGACGAUCGGUAGCUGGUCUGAGAGGAUGAUCAGCCACACUGGAACUGAGACACGGUCCAGACUCCUACGGGAGGCAGCAGUGGGGAAUAUUGGACAAUGGGCGCAAGCCUGAUCCAGCCAUACCGCGUGGGUGAAGAAGGCCUUCGGGUUGUAAAGCCCUUUUGUUGGGAAAGCGGUACCCAAAGAAUAAGCACCGGCUAACUUCGUGCCAGCAGCCGCGGUAAUACGAAGGGUGCAAGCGUUACUCGGAAUUACUGGGCGUAAAGCGUGCGUAGGUGGUUGUUUAAGUCUGUCGUGAAAGCCCUGGGCUCAACCUGGGAAUUGCGAUGGAAACUGGGCGACUAGAGUGUGGCAGAGGAUAGUGGAAUUCCUGGUGUAGCAGUGAAAUGCGUAGAGAUC
rnacentral:rRNA from 1 species